AGUGAACGCUGGCGGUAGGCCUAACACAUGCAAGUCGAACGGCAGCACAGGAGAGCUUGCUCUCUGGGUGGCGAGUGGCGGACGGGUGAGGAAUACAUCGGAAUCUACUCUGUCGUGGGGGAUAACGUAGGGAAACUUACGCUAAUACCGCAUACGACCUACGGGUGAAAGCAGGGGACCUUCGGGCCUUGCGCGAUUGAAUGAGCCGAUGUCGGAUUAGCUAGUUGGCGGGGUAAAGGCCCACCAAGGCGACGAUCCGUAGCUGGUCUGAGAGGAUGAUCAGCCACACUGGAACUGAGACACGGUCCAGACUCUUACGGGAGGCAGCAGUGGGGAAUAUUGGACAAUGGGCGCAAGCCUGAUCCAGCCAUACCGCGUGGGUGAAGAAGGCCUUCGGGUUGUAAGCCCUUUUGUUGGGAAAGAAAUCCAGCUGGCUAAUACCCGGUUGGGAUGACGGUACCCAAAGAAUAAGCACCGGCUAACUUCGUGCCAGCAGCCGCCGUAA
rnacentral:rRNA from 1 species